rnacentral:rRNA from 1 species
GUUCGUAACCAUAGCCCGUUGUAUUAAUUUUAUGCGUUAGUCUCACACUUUAGGGCCUAAGCGUGCUUGGGCGAGAGUAGUACUAGGAUGGGUGACCCCCUGGGAAGUCCUCGUGUUGCAACCA